AGGAGUCUCGGAUGUAGGAACUCGUUUGGGAAAAAGAUGGUGUUAUUAUUUCCUCAGUCAAACGCUUAUUCGCCCAUCUUCUCCGCCGCCGUCCACUCAGAGCCCCGCCGUCCUCCGCCGGCGGAAUUGAGGACUAUUUUCAGAAGUUAUCGUCUAAUUCCGUUCAUUCACGUCGCUGUCACUCCUUCAGAAUUUGAUCGCUUUUGCGCCUCUGCACUUUUGCUCCACGAAUAAAGUUAAAAAUAGAGAAUCCGUUAGCCUACAUGUGUAGUGUGAUGCUAUGUUGGAAAAACUAGCCGCUUCAAAAAUUAGGGCAGCUGCAAGCCUGCAACCAUCGGGACCGAGGAUCAUAUACUGUAGCACAUGACUGGAGUAUUGGAUCAGAUACAAGAACCUUCAAUCAGUAUGGACGACUUCGACAUUGAACUUGAUGAGAUGGAAUUAGUAGCAGUAGCUGCAGGUUACCAUUAUUAUAAUAGCCUUAUGAAGCAGCCAGCUCGCAGCUUGUCGCCAAAAGGAUUUUUCUUGGCCGAACUACUGAGUGGCCCUGAUGAUUUAUGGCGGGAAAUGUAUAGGAUGGACAAACAUGUCUUUCAUAAAUUGAGCGAUACUCUUCGACAGAGAGACAUGCUACGUGACACACCUGGUGUCGUGAUAGAGGAACAAUUGGCUAUUUUCCUGAAUAUUGUUGGUCACAAUGAGCGUAACCGAGUAAUACAAGAACGGUAUCAGCAUUCGGGAGAGACAAUUAGUAGGCAUUUUAAUAAUGUACUGAAAGCAAUUAAGUCUCUGUCAAGUGAGUUCCUCCAACCACCAUCUCUCACUACCCCAACAGAGAUCCGCAAAAGCAAUAGAUUAUACCCGUACUUUGAGGACUGCAUUGGAGUUAUAGAUGGAAUGCAUAUUCCCGCACAUGUUCCUGCGAAAGAUCAGUCCAGAUUUCGCAACAGAAGAGGUGUUUUAUCACAAAAUGUCUUGAUAGCCUGUACAUUUGAUCUCCAGUUCAUAUUUGUGUAUCCUGGUUGGGAAGGCUCCGCUGCAGAUUCACGUGUGCUAAGAGCCGUUCUCAGUGAUCCGGAUCAGAACUUCCCCAAAGUUCCCGAAGGUAAAUAUUACCUUGUUGACAUGGGAUACGAUAACAUGGAUGGAUUUAUGGCUCCAUACGAAGGAGUCCGCUAUCACCUUCACGAAUAUCGAGGUGCUAAUCUCUUACCUAGGAAUGCUAAAGAACUAUUCAAUCACCGCCAUGCAUCUGUAAGCAACGCGAUCAGGAGAUCUUGCAAUGUUCUGAAGGAAAGAUUCCCGAUUCUCAAACUUGCCCCUCAAUACGCUUUCCACAUACAGAGGGACAUUGUUAUAGCUGCAUGCGUGAUACACAAUCACAUCCGGCGCGAGGAGGAGAACGACUGGUUGUUUCAUAGCAAUGAAAUCCCGGUCGAUGAGUCCCCUGUUCUCGAUGAACAGCCUGAUCUGCAAUCACCUUUCUCAGUUCACAAGCAGAUGGCAUCAGAACGCCGAGACACAAUUGCUGCAAUGAUGUGGAACGACUUUAUGAAUAAGUGGGACGAGUGGUGACGAGCAGCAGAUGGUGUGUUGGAAAGUGAUGUUCAAUCCCAGCCCAUGUUCAUAGCAGAGGCUAUUUCCAACCUUGUUGUGAAUCACAAUUUGAAUGUCGAUGCCAUCACAUAAUAUAUUGGAGGACUACUAUUUGAGUUAUAACUGUAACAUAAUUUAAAGUUAAUGUGGUUUAUAUGCUUUACUUCUUUUGCAUGGAUUGAUUGAUCGGUCCGACACACUUCAUUUAUAUUGAACAAUUAUCGUAAUAAUUAAAGAGAAUUUAAUGUUCGGACACAAUUCAUUUUUUAUAUAUAGCGGUAGAGUUAGGUCCUCCCAGUUUAUCUUUAUUUUUGUAUAAAUUACAACUUGUUAAAUUCAAGCAAAAUUUGAAUCGAAAAGUUACUCCCUUGCUAAGAUGUAUAAUAGGAUUAGUAUUUUUCUACUGGAAUAAUAUGCUACAUAGUAUAAUUAGUACUCCAUUUUUCUACUGGAGUAUUAGGUGGUUCAAUUUCAAUAGCACGUUUAUUUUUUA